GACCCGCUAAACCGUGUGGAAGACCCGGUCCCCCAGCAGCGAUUUCCAGCGAGUUUUCCAGCGGAUCCAGCAACGAUUUUCGGCGAGCUCGUUGACCCAAGAACCCAUGGAGACCUGAAACCCAUUGAACCCAAGAGAGAGACCCAUGAUCCAGACCCAUGCGACCCAUGACCCGCCUGACCCGAGAAGAAGACCCGAUUCUCCAUGUGUUCUUUCUGGCGGUCCAGUGAGCUGAUUUCCGGUGAGCCAUCUUUUCAUUCUCUUUGAUUUUUACUUGAAUUCUCCUUUGAUUUUUGUUGAGAAGAAAACCAUAUGGGUCUCGAAAUUUUGGGGGUUUUCUUGGCAAGAAUCAAAUGGGUCCUUUGUAGGGUUAGCCGAACGAGUCUUUGGGUAUGAAAUUUUAGGGAUUGACGAAAUUCUAGUUUGAUAAUUUAUGGGGUUGGUUUAUGAUGGAUUUUGGAAGUGUUGGUGAAGAUUGGGUUUUUAUGUGGAUGGACCGAAUGGGUAUUUGUCAUUAUGAAAUGGGUUUCGGAUUUUGGUAAGCUUUCCUUAAGUUUUGGGGAUGGAUUCUGGUUGAUAUUACUUGAAUUAUGGGUUUUCUAUUAAGGUUGCAGAAUAUGGUUUUGGUUUGUUGAGUUACAUUUUUAUGUUAAUUUUUGGAUUUGAUUUAGUUUGUGUUUUAGUUGUUAAGAUUCUGAUUGGGUUUGGUGUUAACCAUAUGAAGUUUGAAUAUACAUUGAGAGGGAUUUUGGGGUGUUGGAUUUGUAAAUUUGAUGUGGAUUUCCUAUUUAGGAAAUAUUGGGCUAUUGUUGGAAUUUAUAUUUUAUAAUCAAUGUUGAUGGGUUCCUUAAGGUUUGGUGUUUGUCUAUGUUAGAGAUAACGGGAUAGGUAAUAUUUGUUGUGGAGGAUUUACUUGUAUUGGUUGUGAUUUAAUUCUACGGAUGUGCUUUUGAGGUAUAUUGCUUGGUUAUAGUUGAUGAAUGAUGUUUGGAGGGAAGUUCAUAGUUAUUGAAUUCUCUUUGGGAAAAGAUUGGACAUGUGUAUGUAAUAUUGAUGAUUUUGGAAAUUGAUAUUGAGUUGGGUUUAUGAGUUUGAUUGUGGGUUAUUUGCCUAUGGAUGAGGCUAGGUUCAUUUGGCUUUGGACUAUAUUUCAAGAGUCUAGAUUUAGUGUAGGAGUUGCUGUUGGUAUUUAAGGAUGAAUUGGUAAUGGUUAGGAUUUGUAUCCUUAGAGUUGGUUUUAUGGCUUGAUGGUGUAGCGGGAAUUGUGGAAGAGUUUCUAAGUGGAUGGUCGUAUGAUAUUGUGCUAGAUUGUUAAUGAUUGUUUGUAUGUGGCUAAUUAGAGAUGCUUUAGGUGAGAAGGAUGUAGUUUUGGAGAAUGUAAGUGUCUAUGUGGUUUUAAUAGAAAAAUCUAUGUAUAUGCCUCUAGCGUUAGUGUGUAUAUAUAUAUAUUGUAACCUAAUCUAAAAUGAGUGGUUAAAUUGAUAUAUUAUAUAAGAUUUAUGUUCUAUAACCUAAACUACCUAGAUGGUUAGUAGCUAAUAAAAGAUAAAAGUAUUGAAUGUAAUAACAAUGGUGUUUAAGGAUAAGAAAUAAAUUAAGAUAUAAAUCUAGAGUCUAAGACUAAUAUCAUAGAAGACAAAUAUUGUGAUGUAAACUACCCAAAUAACCUUAAGUUAAUAUGUAUAAGCUAAUAGACUUAUAGAACAUAUAAAUGUGAUAUAAAUCAAUUAUGUAGCAACCUAGUAACUAAUUCACCUACCUAUAUACACAUGGUACUUAUGUGUAUCAUCGGAUUAGGUUUAAGCCUUGUAUGUGUAUACGUGUAAAUGUAUAUGAAUCAAAUAUACAUUGUUAGUAUAAUAAAUAGAGAAGUAAAAUAAUAGAAGUAUCUUAAAGAUAAAUAAGUGUGAUAAAAUAUGAACCUACAAGCGAGGAUUGACCUAAUAGUAGUUAAAGGAACUUAAUUGGUUCUAGAGAUAGAGUAAUGCGACGUGUGAGCACGCGGGUAGUUAGGAUGUCAUAGAGUAUGUGAUUCAAUAGCCUAGUCUAAUGCUACCAAUGUUUGCAGGAUCAUGUUCGGAUUGGAGACUUUAAUUGGUUCUCCAAUGUAGAGUCCAAGUGACUAGAGUCCAAGGAGUGUUCGAGUUGGAGUCUAAUGCAGCCAAGAUGAUGUUUCUUUGGCUGCAGGUACUUCGAUAUAGUUGAGAGGUUGGUAGCAGUGUACUUGGGAUAUUAUGACUGGAGCUCGCCGCGACAGUUAUAAUUGUCGGACCACGGGUUGUCCACUAUUUUAUAGGUUUGGUAUGGCUUGUGACGUUUGUGUCACUUAUUCUUUGUUAAGCCAUUAUUGUUAUGUAAAUAUUGUGUUAAUAAGACUCAAACAGAUAGAUGUUAAAUGACUCAAUAUUGUAAUUAAUUUGUGAUAGAUGUAUAAGUUGUAAUUUCCGCUAUUCA